AGUGAACGCUGGCGGCAGGCCUAACACAUGCCAGUCGAGCGGCAGCGGGUCCUUCGGGCUGCCGGCGAGCGGCGGACGGGUGAGGAAUGCGUCGGAAUCUGCCUUUUUGUGGGGGAUAACGUAGGGAAACUUACGCUAAUACCGCAUACGACCUACGGGUGAAAGUGGGGGACCGCAAGGCCUCACGCAGAAAGAUGAGCCGACGUCGGAUUAGCUAGUUGGCGGGGUAAAGGCCCACCAAGGCGACGAUCCGUAGCUGGUCUGAGAGGAUGAUCAGCCACACUGGAACUGAGACACGGUCCAGACUCCUACGGGAGGCAGCAGUGGGGAAUAUUGGACAAUGGGCGCAAGCCUGAUCCAGCCAUGCCGCGUGUGUGAAGAAGGCCUUCGGGUUGUAAAGCACUUUUGUCCGGAAAGAAAUCCUGUCGGCUAAUACCCGGCGGGGAUGACGGUACCGGAAGAAUAAGCACCGGCUAACUUCGUG
rnacentral:rRNA from 1 species